ensembl:lncRNA
UGAAAAAAUUCAUGUCUUAUAUAAAUAGGAAUAAGAUUAAAUGUGAAUUACAUAUACAAGAAAAUCACAGCUUCUUUAGAAAGAAUGUAGUUGCAAAUGACACACAACCGAGUAGUGUGUACUAUAACACUAGGAAUGACAAUAUACAGAAUUAUUGUUUUUUUAGUUUUUCUAAACAUAAUAAUAAAUUAUAUAGUAACCGUUAUUUCUAUUCGGACAGGUAUGUAAAUGUUCCAGAUAUAAACGUGUCUAGUUUCAGCAGAUUAAAAUAUGAUAACAAUAGUAAAGACAUAAUAGAACAUCAUGAGUAUAAAAAGGAUAUGUUUAGUUCGUAUAUGUACAAUCAGAGUUUCCAAAACAGUAGAUGCGAAAUGGGUAGUGAUCAUAACAGUAAUGAUAAAAACAGUAACACCAAUGGUAACGACAAAAUCAAUAGCUACAUCAACCGAAGCAAGACAUUCACAAAACAAGUUAACCUACUUAACAUCUACCUAGAAACAAUAGUAUGGAUACAUAUAUGUGAAUUGUUUAUUUAUUUAAAAUUAAAUGCUAAAGUAAUCGUAUACAUUUUUAAUAUUAUUAAUAUGUAUAUAAAAUUUUAUUUAAGUUUAAACAAUAAUAACAAUUAUUAUAAUUUAGAUAAUACAUUUUUUUUUUAUAAUUUAACACAGCAGUUCAUGUGUUUAAAAUGCUUAUACCUUUUUUAUUUAUAUUCGAAAUGUAAAAGAAAACUAAACAACAUAAGUUCGAAAUGGAAAAAACAAAAUAGCAUGUAUCAUAUAAUAACAAAUGGUUGCACCAAUUUUAGAAAGUUAAAAAAAAAUAAAAAACUUUCACUAUUACAUAAAAACAACUUAUAUAAAAAAAUAUUUUUUUUAGAAAAACACUCUGAGUUAAACAACGAAUAUUAUAACAAAUAUGUUCAAGUACCACGAAUAGUUUGUAGUAAUGACAAUAUAUAUUUAAAUGAUUCAAUUUAUGAUACCAAAUUAAAAAUACCUUUCCGACUUAGUACUACUGUGGCAAAGAAACAAAACAUGUUUUGGAUAUUUUCCUAUUUUAGAAAGAAACAAAAAAAAGUCCAAGAAAAAAUGGUUGAACAGAAAAAACAGCAAUUCGUUAUGGAGAAAACAAAAAAAAUCACAGAUGAUAUAUUAAUGCAGGAAAAGAAAAGGAACAAUGGGGAUGUGCAGAAGGAAAAGAAAAAUAAAAAAAAAGAAAAUGACACUAUCAAAAAGAGCGAUAAUAUUAAAACGAAUGAAAAUAAUGAAAAGAAUAAAAGUAACAUAAAAAAAAAAGCUAAAUUACAUGCCUAUGAAGAAAAACUAUUUAAAUCAUUUCAUUUUGAAGACAUUUCAAAAAAUCAAUACAAAAAAUAUACACUUAAAAAAAAUAUUAAAAUUUAUGUAUCUUUAUUAAAAAAAAUUUAUUAUAAUGAUAAAAAAGUAAACAUUUUAUAUGCUAGAUAUUAUUUUAUGAAGAAAAAAUAUUUUAAAGUUAUAUCUAUUUUGUCAUUAUUAAAUGAACAUUAUAAAAAAAAAAAUUUUUUUAUUAGCAAAAAUAACAAUAAUAACAAUAACAAUGAUAAUAACAAUAAUAACAAUAGCAAUAAUAACAAUAACAAUAAUAAUCAUGUCCAACCGAAACCAAACAUGAAUAAUAGUAGCAAUUAUUAUGAAAAUAAUAAUAUAUUUAAAGAUCCUAAGAAGUACCAAUUUUAUAUAAAUAAUCAAACAUGUUUUAUUUAUGAAUAUUUAAAUAUAUAUAUGUAUUAUCAGUCAUUUUAUAAAUUAAAAGAAUAUGAAAAAUCAAAUUAUUAUAAAAAUGUUUUAAAUCAUAUAUUGUUUAACUGUCCUAUUAUACCUUUUAAUUUAUUCCCAUUUAUAAAUCUUUAAUUGAAUGAGCUUCGCAUUUUUUUUUUUUUUUUUUUUUUGUUUUUCUUUUGUACGACUUGGAAAUUUAUGAAUUAUUUGAUAAGUACGUUCGGUUAUUUCUAUGUUUUUAUGUUUAUUUUUUAUGUAUUUAUAUACUUAAUUAUCAAUUUUUUUUUUUUUUUUUUUUCUUCUUAAAAUUGUAUUAUUUUUGUGCUUAAACUAGCACUUCUUUACUUAAGCGAUGGUACUAUACACUUAAUAUAUACUCGUUUUAUUUUAUUUUGUUAAAUGAUAGCCGAAUAUAUAUGUAUAUAUAUAUAUAUAUAUAUAUUUUUUUUUUUGUCUUUUUUAAAAAAAAUGGUUAACUUUUUUUGUUUUUGAAUGAAAUAACAUAUUUGUU